UGCUUAACAGCUAGCUCACCCAGCAACUUAACCCCCCCCCCCCAACCACCCUAAGAUAACAAUGACAAACAAAAACUAACUAAAACAUUCUUCCUCUUAAGUACAGGCGAUUGAAAAAGAACCAUCGAAGCUACAGAAAAAGUACCGCAAGGGAAAGCUGAAAAAGAAAUGAAAUAACUCAGUAAAGCCAAAAAAAGCAAAGAUUAACUCUUGUACCUUUUGCAUCAUGGCUUAGCUAGCCACCCUCAGGCAAAAAGAUUUAUAGUCUGAUACCCCGAAACCAAGUGAGCUACUCCGAGGCAGCCUAAUAAUAGGGCACACCCGUCUCUGUGGCAAAAGAGUGGGAAGAACUCCGAGUAGAGGUGAUAAACCUACCGAACCUGGCAAUAGCUGGUUGUCUAAAAAAUGAAUAGAAGUUCAGCACUUAGUUUUCUCUUUUUAACCCCUAAAAUUACAGAGAAAGCUAAGUAGUUAGUCCAAGGAGGUACAGCCCCCUGGACAAAAGACACAACUUUAGCAGACGGAUAAAGAUCAAACUAACAAAAGAACAACACACUAGUGGGCUUAAAAGCAGCCAUCUAAAGAAAAAGCGUUAAAGCUUAAGUCCUGAUAAAUCUAAUAAUAAAGAUCACUUUAUCUUAUUCCUCCAACCCCACUAGACCGCCUUAUGCCCCCAUAAAAGCGAUAAUGCUAACAUGAGUAAUAAGAGAACAGAAUCUCUCCUCACACAAAUGUACCCCAGAACGAACACAUCGCUGGGAAUUAACGGACCCAAAAUAGAGGGUAACGAGACAGUAAACAAAACAACCAGAAAACCCCCCGCACUCCCCCGUUAACCUUACACAAGCGUGUCUACAAGGAAAGACUAAAAAAAAAGGAAGGAACUCGGCAAAUUAAUCCACCAAGCCUCGCCUGUUUACCAAAAACAUCGCCUCUUGCCACACAAAGUAUAAGAGGUCCCGCCUGCCCUGUGAUCAUGAAUUUAACGGCCGCGGUAUUUUGACCGUGCAAAGGUAGCGCAAUCACUUGUCUUUUAAAUGGAGACCUGUAUGAAUGGCAUAACGAGGGCUUAACUGUCUCCCUUUUUUAGUCAAUGAAAUUGAUCUUCCCGUGCAGAAGCGGGAAUAAAAACAUAAGACGAGAAGACCCUGUGGAGCUUUAGACAAUAAAUAACACUCGUCAAAUACUCUUAACCAAAAAAUUGAACGAAAAGUGCUCUAUUUUGCUGUCUUUGGUUGGGGCGACCGCGGGGUAAAAAGAAACCCCCACGUGGCAUAGAAACACCCUUUCUUUAAUUAAGAGUGACAACCCUAAAUAUUAGAACAUCUAACCUACAAUGACCCGGCUCUGCUGCCGAUCAACGAAACUAGUUACCCCAGGGAUAACAGCGCAAUCCUUUCCCAGAGCCCAUAUCGACGAUAGGGUUUACGACCUCGAUGUUGGAUCAGGACAUCCUAAUGGUGCAGCAGCUAUUAAGGGUUCGUUUGUUCAACGAUUAAAGUCCUACGUGAUCUGAGUUCAGUCCGGAGUAAUCCAGGUCAGUUUCUAUCUAUGGCAUGCUCUUUUCCAGUACGAAAGGACCGAAAAGAUAAGGUCCCUACUAAAAGCACACCUUACCUUACACCUAAUGAAGUCAACUAAACUAGGAGAAAAGGCAUAAAAUCACCCACCCCCGAAAAUGGUUU
rnacentral:rRNA from 1 species